rnacentral:rRNA from 1 species
UACGUAGGUGGCAAGCGUUGUCCGGAAUUAUUGGGCGUAAAGCGCGCGCAGGCGGUCCUUUAAGUCUGAUGUGAAAGCCCACGGCUCAACCGUGGAGGGUCAUUGGAAACUGGGGGACUUGAGUGCAGAAGAGGAAAGCGGAAUUCCACGUGUAGCGGUGAAAUGCGUAGAGAUGUGGAAGAACACCGGUGGCGAAGGCGGCGACCUGGUCCGAUACUGACGCUGAGGCGCGAAAGCGUGGGGAGCAAACAGG